rnacentral:rRNA from 1 species
UACGAGGGGGGCAAAUGUUGUUCGGAAUCACUGGGCGUAAAGGGAGCGUAGGCGGGCUCUUAAGUUAGGUGUUUAAUCCCGGGGCCCAACCCCGGUCGUGCACUUAAAACUGGGAGUCUUGAAUAGUGGAGAGGUCAGUGGAAUUGGGGGUGUAGCGGUGGAAUGCGUAGAGAUCCCCAAGAACACCAGUCGCGAAGGCGGCUGACUGGACACAUAUUGACGCUGAGGCUCGAAAGCAUGGGGAGCAAACAGG